rnacentral:rRNA from 1 species
UACGUAGGGGGCUAGCGUUGUCCGGAAUCAUUGGGCGUAAAGAGCGCGUAGGCUGCCAGAUAAGUCCGGUGUGAAAGUCACAGGCUCAACCUGUGAAUGCCGCUGGAAACUGUCUGGCUAGAGUCCGGAAGGGGCGAGUGGAAUUCCUGGUGUAGCGGUGAAAUGCGCAGAUAUCAGGUGGAACACCGGUGGCGAAGGCGGUGAUCUGGGCCGACACUGACGCUGUAGAGCGAAAGCGUGGGGAGCGAACAGG